CUUGACUCUAGUCUGGCACUGUAAGGAGACAUGAGAGGUGUAGCAUAAGUGGGAGCUACGCCGGCCCUCGGGCUGGCGCCGUCGACGGUGAAAUACCACUACUUUGAUAGUUUCUUUACUUACUCGGUGAGGCGGAGGGCGUGCGCAGUCGUCGAUUCGUCGCGGCUGCGUCACGGUAUUCUGGAUCCAAGGGAGUUGCGGUCGCGGGCGCCACUGGGACGCGGGCGCACGGGGAUCGGCCGUCCGGGCCGGGGGGAAACCUUCGGCCCGCGGCUCGCCGCCCCCCGUGCGCUCCGUCCCUAGCUCGUGUUUAUCCCUCCCGAUCCGAUUCGAGGACACCGCCAGGCGGGGAGUUUGACUGGGGCGGUACAUCUGUCAAAGAAUAACGCAGGUGUCCUAAGGCUAGCUCAGCGAGGACAGAAACCUCGCGUGGAGCAAAAGGGCAAAUGCUGGCUUGAUCCCGAUGCUCAGUACGCAUAGAGACUGCGAAAGCACGGCCUAUCGAUCCUUUUGGCUUGGGGAGUUUCCAGCAAGAGGUGUCAGAAAAGUUACCACAGGGA
rnacentral:rRNA from 1 species